AAGUCGUAACAAGGUCUCCGUUGGUGAACCAGCGGAGGGAUCAUUACCGAGUUAUUACUCCAAACCCUUUGUGAACCUUACCUUUUUGUUGCUCGGCGCACCGCGGGCCGCGGCUCCGGCCCGUCCCGCAGCGCGCCAGAGGACCCAACUCUUCAAUUUAUAGCGUACCUUCUGAUUUACAAAACAAACAAGUUAAAACUUUCAACAACGGAUCUCUUGGUUCUG
rnacentral:misc_RNA from 1 species